rnacentral:tRNA from 1 species
GCGGGGGUAGCCAAGCCUGGUCAAACAAGCACAGCAGCAAGCUGGCCGUGGCCAGCGGCGGCAGGCUCAAGACCUGCUCCCGCAGGGGUUCGUGGGUUCGAAUCCCACCCCCCGCA